rnacentral:rRNA from 1 species
AAUGAACGCUGGCGGCAUGCUUUACACAUGCAAGUCGAACGGCAGCACGGGUGCUUGCACCUGGUGGCGAGUGGCGAACGGGUGAGUAAUGCAUCGGAACGUAUCCAAUAAUGGGGGAUAACGCAUCGAAAGGUGUGCUAAUACCGCAUACGCCCUGAGGGGGAAAGUGGGGGAUCGUAAGACCUCACGUUGAUGGAGCGGCCGAUGUCAGAUUAGCUAGUUGGUGAGGUAAAGGCUCACCAAGGCGACGAUCUGUAGCUGGUCUGAGAGGACGACCAGCCACACUGGAAGUGAGACACGGUCCAGACUCCUACGGGAGGAAGCAGGGGGGAAUUUUGGACAAUGGGCGCAAGCCUGGUCCAGCCAUGCCGCGUGAGUGAAGAAGGCCUUCGGGUUGUAAAGCUCUUUCGCAAGGGAAGAAACGAUUCAGGAUAAUACCCUGGGUUAAUGACGGUACCUUGAUAAGAAGCACCGGCUAACUACGUGCCAGCCGCCGCGGUAA